rnacentral:rRNA from 1 species
GACGAACCGUGCAAACGUUGUUCGGAAUCACUGGGCUUAAAGGGCGCGUAGGCGGGCCAGCCAGUCUGUGGUGAAAGCCUCUAGCUUAACUGGAGAAGUGCCGUGGAUACUGCUGGCCUCGAGGAGGAUAGGGGCAUCUGGAACGGUCGGUGGAGCGGUGAAAUGCGUUGAUAUCGACCGGAACUCCGGUGGCGAAGGCGAGGUGCUGGGUCCUUUCUGACGCUGAUGCGCGAAAGCCAGGGGAGCAAACGGG